GACGAACGCUGGCGGCGGGCUUAAUACAUGCAAGUCGAACGAGAAGCUUCGGGUUCGCCCGAAGUGGAGAGUGGCGCACGGGUGAGUAACACGUAGGCAACCUACCCCUGAGAGUGGGAUAACCAUUGGAAACGAUGGCUAAUACCGCAUAUUGUCUUUAGGACGCAUGUUCUUUAGAUGAAAUACUCUGGUGCUCAGGGAUGGGCCUGCGGCGGAUUAGCUUGUUGGUAAGGUAACGGCUUACCAAGGCUACGAUCUGUAGCUGGUCUGAGAGGAUGAUCAGCCACACUGGCACUGAGACACGGGCCAGACUCCUACGGGAGGCAGCAGUAAGGAAUAUUGCGCAAUGGGCGAAAGCCUGACGCAGCCACGCCGCGUGGAGGAAGACACCCCUAUGGGGCGUAAACUCCUUUUAUAUGAGAAGAAGGCCUCGGUCGCCGAGGUUUGACGGUACCAUAUGAAUAAGCACCGGCUAACUCCG
rnacentral:rRNA from 1 species